UACGGAGGGGCUAGCGUUGUUCGGAAUUACUGGGCGUAAAGCGCACGUAGGCGGCUUUGUAAGUUAGAGGUGAAAGCCCGGGGCUCAACUCCGGAAUUGCCUUUAAGACUGCAUCGCUUGAACAUCGGAGAGGUAAGUGGAAUUCCGAGUGUAGAGGUGAAAUUCGUAGAUAUUCGGAAGAACACCAGUGGCGAAGGCGACUUACUGGACGAUUGUUGACGCUGAGGUGCGAAAGCGUGGGGAGCAAACACGG
rnacentral:rRNA from 1 species